rfam:Mycoplasmataceae bacterium CE_OT135 Contig_10, whole genome shotgun sequence.
UGGGGUGUAGCCAAGUGGUAAGGCAAAGGACUUUGACUCCUUCAUCGUUGGUUCAAUUCCAGCCACCCCAG